ensembl:lncRNA
AAAAUAUAUAAAUAAAUAAAUAAAAAUCUGGCAGUGCCCCUGUAUUGGCUCUGACAGAGACAAGAGAUAACAGAGAGACAUUGGCUGUUCUUCAUUAGAUUCUCCUCUGCCCCUCAGCAAACAGAAGUAGCUCCGGCCAAACAAGCUCAAUCAAAAGGUGGCUUCACUGGACGAUGUUAGCUCAGCAAAUCCCAGCUCUACACACACGGCUUCAAAGAAUAGGCCCAUCUCCUCCUAACCUUUGAUGUAUUGUGUAUUGAUCACGAAGAGAGCCUGGGAGAGAGUGAUGCGAUGGAUGCCCUAAGAGGGAUUAGUGGAGGCCAGGCCAGGCUCAAAUACAAAUGUUCCUCAAGAGCAGCUUGGUCUCUGGGGCUUGGCCAGCUGCCCUGUCCUCUGACCAGCUCUAUAGGAGCAUGCUUUAAAAAUGCCGGAUUAAAAAAAAAUUAAAAUGUACAUGUUGGUGGAUAAGAACUAAUUCUUUUUAAGUCGUUUGGUCUGAAGUAACUUCACUUGAGUGUGAUUAUUGUAAAGGUAUUACUCCAUAUAUCACACUAUUUUGCCGGUCCACUCCAAAGGGCACAUAUUUUCGGAGACUAUCAUGAAUAAAGAGCUCUUGAAAUGUAAAGGCCCAGUGAUGUAACUGUUCUGGUGCCAUGCAGUCAUGCUUGGACAGCGCAGCACUCGUCUCCCUGCCGCAGAUGUCUUUAUACCUCGUUUCCUGUCUCUCGUCAGCUAAGUUAAGGUAGAAUGACAUUGUGAUUGCUGUUUCUUUGCCACCACAGACAAUUGGAACGGCCCAUCUUGGAACCGUCUGCUCGCACCUGUAGCCGACAGCCAGCGUGACAGGUCUCUUCAAAGUCUAUGUUUACAGAACAGCUCCUGGUGACUACAUGAAAGAAUGGAAGAGAUGAAAAUCCGCUUUGAAAGACACAAGCUGGGUAGCGUGCAUGCAGACAAGACUCUUGCUCAACUGCACAACAGUAACUGGAUGAAACCAACAAGCCAUGUAACCGUGCAGCUCUGUGAAGGACUCGCAGUGGUCACAGCAAAAGUGAGUCCAUGGAAAUCAGUUCUGGCAGACUGUCACCGUUGCGAGGUCACAGUCUGUUAAGAGUGUGGGAAGCACAAGCACUAGACUUCAAGAACGAAAACAACUGACAGCUGCAGAGAGUUAAAGCACAGUCAGAAACAAAGACCCUGAGGGGAAAAUAAUGAACAGUUCAUUCAUCCUCAUAUUGUGAUACACAUGAAAGGAUAUUUGUUCUGCGAAAACUUCUUGUUUCGUAUGUUGCUUAUGCUGGAAGACAUCCAUGUUUUUAUUAUGAGUUUUUGGCAUUUGGACCAGAUCUGUUGAUUGUAACAUUCCACUUUUUGGACAAAUAUCCUUCACAGUAAAAGAAUCAUUGUCUCAUCUUCACAAAUAUAAUUACAUUCCAAAAUAUAAUGAAAGGUUCCAAACAGAUGUCUGGCAGGCAUCCAUUAACUCCAAUAAAUAAUAUUUAUCAGUAUCUGUUAAAGGGAGA